CGUAAAGCCCAGCGCUGGGGCUGAGCGCCGGCCUUGCUGGCUGCGCCAUGGAGCUGCGGAUCCUGGAGCCUCGCGUGCGGGUCCUCAGCCUCGCCCGCCGCGGCCUCUGGCUCUACACCCACCCGCUGCUCAAGAUGCUGCUCCUGCCCCAGCGCAGCAGACGGGCGUCUUUCUCCAGCACAGUUCCUUGGCAUUACUACCUAUUGUUUUCCACCAAUUCCUGCUUUGCAAGCCGUUUCCUACUUCCUUUAGCUACUUACUCCGCGUCUUAUCUGGCUGCUUAACUCUUUAAACUCUGCA